rnacentral:rRNA from 1 species
GACGGAGGAUGCAAGCGUUAUCCGGAAUGAUUGGGCGUAAAGCGUCCGCAGGUGGCAGUUCAAGUCUGCUGUCAAAGACCGGGGCUUAACUUCGGAAAGGCAGUGGAAACUGAACAGCUAGAGUAUGGUAGGGGCAGAGGGAAUUCCUGGUGUAGCGGUGAAAUGCGUAGAGAUCAGGAAGAACAUCGGUGGCGAAGGCGGCAUCCUGGACCGGCAUUGACGCUGAACAGCGAAAGCCAGGGGAGCAAACGGG